UGCCAUGCCAUCCACUAUUUCCCCUGUAUUCUCAACAUUAUCCAACAAUACGUGCAUAUAAUUUUUAAUACAAAUUUAAGCUCUAAUUCUCCUUUAAUUGAUUUCAUGUAUUCUCUCUGUUAAACCUGUACAAAGCUCUACUAACAUUUGCAUUAAAUAGCAAGCUUUAUAUUGAGCUCAUGCAGAUGAAAGAAUACAAUGAACCCCUAUAGCCAAAAUUAGUGAAUAAUGUCAUCUUUGCUACAGCAAUGGAUUCCCAAUGCUGUAUGAAGUCUAGCCUCUUAAUCUCAAUCAUGGUCAUCGUCUCAUUUUGAGGUCGUGGGCAUAUGAACUAGCAUUGAGUCCCGUAUACGGCUAUACCUAUUGAAAGCUUCAGAUUUGGGAAAAGCUUGUAGAAAGUGAGUGAAGGGACCAUUGUGAUUUUAGAGCAACCAAAACCUAAAACCUCCCCUCUCAAAUUUCCAGGGAAAAAAAUGAGGACCAUCCGUGGGCAAUAAUUGGCAUUUUGAGUUCAAUUGAUCCAUAGUUGAAAAACUGAAGGAAAAAAACAAAAGUACAAUGAUCCCGUGAUUAUAAAAAUGAAUUGUUGAGGUUGCAAAGUGACAGAAACCAAUCUCAGCAAUUAAGAUUAAUUUUAUCGAAUUUCUAUACAUUUUUAUUAUUUAAAAUUUAUAAUAAUUAUUCUAGUAAAAAUAUAAUUUACUAGAACCUUAACAAUUUAAUCAUCCUGGAACAUGAAAAGUAAAAGGGCCAUGUGGCCUAUUGGCGAUGGAUAAAUUCUUGAACAGUCAUUAAAGUUUUAGCUAUUUUUUUAAUUAAUUUAGUCGGUUAUGUACAUAACUAGGAAGUGUUCUUCUUUUGUGUUGUAUAAUAACAUUUUUAAUUUUACAUGCUUAAUCUAAUGGUUAGAUCUUAAUAUUUUCAAAAUUAUAUAUUUAUAAAAAGAUUCAAAAUACCAAAAAUAUAUAAAAACCAAUUUUCCUUUUCCUUUCCCUAUUUUUCCUUGCGUUAGGGGAGUGUUAUUCUCUGAGUUGGAUUCUACUUUUCUUUUUAUGGUUACCUUGGGGUAGCAACUGAAGUAUUCCCUCUUUAGAACUUGAGCAUUAAAAAGAGGGUAAACCGAAAGGGGGUAAAAAUUCAAGAAAUCCUUACUUUGUCUUGUUGCCAAAGAAAAUUCCCCAAAACUCAGAUCGACAAUGCCUGGUGUAUGUGGUGUGUUGGGUCAUCCACCGCCUGAUUCACCGACAUAAAAGCAACAGAGUUUUAAAGCUUUGAAUCAAAGGGCUGUGGUAAUGGUGGUGGAUCCAAUUCAGAGUUUUGAAGAUUUGAGAUAGGUGAGGAAAAGAGAAUGUGAACUAUAGAAUAAAUUACUCAACCAUUAAACCCAGAUUUCAUAAAAAGAAAAAUCAAAGGAUUAAACGGGUGGGGAAGAAAAUGGAGUAGAGAGAAAAUAAUGUUAUAUUAAAUAAUAAUUUAAUUUACUUUUU
rnacentral:lncRNA from 1 species